rnacentral:lncRNA from 1 species
AUGAGGAAGGGAGUGUCAUCCUUAGGGAAACAUCGCAGCUGGACACACUCCCUGUGCUGCUGCGGCCCUGAGGCCCCAACCUGCUAAGCCAAGAGAAGGCAGAACUGGAGUGCCAAGGCGAAAAGACGAAGCAACACCAGGGCUGGUUGAAUGAGGCGCCUAAACAUUGUACACUACAGAUUCAGGCCUGGGCUCCGUGAAGGACAGCACCCAGACCCAAGGGCCAGCUACUGCACCUCAUCU